rnacentral:rRNA from 1 species
GGUUAAGCGACUAAGCGUACACGGUGGAUGCCCUGGCAGUCAGAGGCGAUGAAGGACGUGCUAAUCUGCGAUAAGCGUCGGUAAGGUGAUAUGAACCGUUAUAACCGGCGAUUUCCGAAUGGGGAAACCCAGUGUGUUUCGACACACUAUCAUUAACUGAAUCCAUAGGUUAAUGAGGCGAACCGGGGGAACUGAAACAUCUAAGUACCCCGAGGAAAAGAAAUCAACCGAGAUUCCCCCAGUAGCGGCGAGCGAACGGGGAGGAGCCCAGAGCCUGAAUCAGUGUGUGUGUUAGUGGAAGCGUCUGGAAAGGCGCGCGAUACAGGGUGACAGCCCCGUACACAAAAAUGCACAUGCUGUGAGCUCGAUGAGUAGGGCGGGACACGUGGUAUCCUGUCUGAAUAUGGGGGGACCAUCCUCCAAGGCUAAAUACUCCUGACUGACCGAUAGUGAACCAGUACCGUGAGGGAAAGGCGAAAAGAACCCCGGCGAGGGGAGUGAAAAAGAACCUGAAACCGUGUACGUACAAGCAGUGGGAGCCUCUUUUAUGGGGUGACUGCGUACCUUUUGUAUAAUGGGUCAGCGACUUAUAUUCUGUAGCAAGGUUAACCGAAUAGGGGAGCCGAAGGGAAACCGAGUCUUAACUGGGCGUUAAGUUGCAGGGUAUAGACCCGAAACCCGGUGAUCUAGCCAUGGGCAGGUUGAAGGUUGGGUAACACUAACUGGAGGACCGAACCGACUAAUGUUGAAAAAUUAGCGGAUGACUUGUGGCUGGGGGUGAAAGGCCAAUCAAACCGGGAGAUAGCUGGUUCUCCCCGAAAGCUAUUUAGGUAGCGCCUCGUGAAUUCAUCUCCGGGGGUAGAGCACUGUUUCGGCAAGGGGGUCAUCCCGACUUACCAACCCGAUGCAAACUGCGAAUACCGGAGAAUGUUAUCACGGGAGACACACGGCGGGUGCUAACGUCCGUCGUGAAGAGGGAAACAACCCAGACCGCCAGCUAAGGUCCCAAAGUCAUGGUUAAGUGGGAAACGAUGUGGGAAGGCCCAGACAGCCAGGAUGUUGGCUUAGAAGCAGCCAUCAUUUAAAGAAAGCGUAAUAGCUCACUGGUCGAGUCGGCCUGCGCGGAAGAUGUAACGGGGCUAAACCAUGCACCGAAGCUGCGGCAGCGACACUAUGUGUUGUUGGGUAGGGGAGCGUUCUGUAAGCCUGUGAAGGUGUACUGUGAGGUAUGCUGGAGGUAUCAGAAGUGCGAAUGCUGACAUAAGUAACGAUAAAGCGGGUGAAAAGCCCGCUCGCCGGAAGACCAAGGGUUCCUGUCCAACGUUAAUCGGGGCAGGGUGAGUCGACCCCUAAGGCGAGGCCGAAAGGCGUAGUCGAUGGGAAACAGGUUAAUAUUCCUGUACUUGGUGUUACUGCGAAGGGGGGACGGAGAAGGCUAUGUUGGCCGGGCGACGGUUGUCCCGGUUUAAGCGUGUAGGCUGGUUUUCCAGGCAAAUCCGGAAAAUCAAGGCUGAGGCGUGAUGACGAGGCACUACGGUGCUGAAGCAACAAAUGCCCUGCUUCCAGGAAAAGCCUCUAAGCAUCAGGUAACAUCAAAUCGUACCCCAAACCGACACAGGUGGUCAGGUAGAGAAUACCAAGGCGCUUGAGAGAACUCGGGUGAAGGAACUAGGCAAAAUGGUGCCGUAACUUCGGGAGAAGGCACGCUGAUAUGUAGGUGAAGUCCCUUGCGGAUGGAGCUGAAAUCAGUCGAAGAUACCAGCUGGCUGCAACUGUUUAUUAAAAACACAGCACUGUGCAAACACGAAAGUGGACGUAUACGGUGUGACGCCUGCCCGGUGCCGGAAGGUUAAUUGAUGGGGUCAGCGCAAGCGAAGCUCUUGAUCGAAGCCCCGGUAAACGGCGGCCGUAACUAUAACGGUCCUAAGGUAGCGAAAUUCCUUGUCGGGUAAGUUCCGACCUGCACGAAUGGCGUAAUGAUGGCCAGGCUGUCUCCACCCGAGACUCAGUGAAAUUGAACUCGCUGUGAAGAUGCAGUGUACCCGCGGCAAGACGGAAAGACCCCGUGAACCUUUACUAUAGCUUGACACUGAACAUUGAGCCUUGAUGUGUAGGAUAGGUGGGAGGCUUUGAAGUGUGGACGCCAGUCUGCAUGGAGCCGACCUUGAAAUACCACCCUUUAAUGUUUGAUGUUCUAACGUGGACCCGUGAUCCGGGUUGCGGACAGUGUCUGGUGGGUAGUUUGACUGGGGCGGUCUCCUCCUAAAGAGUAACGGAGGAGCACGAAGGUUGGCUAAUCCUGGUCGGACAUCAGGAGGUUAGUGCAAUGGCAUAAGCCAGCUUGACUGCGAGCGUGACGGCGCGAGCAGGUGCGAAAGCAGGUCAUAGUGAUCCGGUGGUUCUGAAUGGAAGGGCCAUCGCUCAACGGAUAAAAGGUACUCCGGGGAUAACAGGCUGAUACCGCCCAAGAGUUCAUAUCGACGGCGGUGUUUGGCACCUCGAUGUCGGCUCAUCACAUCCUGGGGCUGAAGUAGGUCCCAAGGGUAUGGCUGUUCGCCAUUUAAAGUGGUACGCGAGCUGGGUUUAGAACGUCGUGAGACAGUUCGGUCCCUAUCUGCCGUGGGCGCUGGAGAACUGAGGGGGGCUGCUCCUAGUACGAGAGGACCGGAGUGGACGCAUCACUGGUGUUCGGGUUGUCAUGCCAAUGGCACUGCCCGGUAGCUAAAUGCGGAAGAGAUAAGUGCUGAAAGCAUCUAAGCACGAAACUUGCCCCGAGAUGAGUUCUCCCUGACUCCUUGAGAGUCCUGAAGGAACGUUGAAGACGACGACGUUGAUAGGCCGGGUGUGUAAGCGCAGCGAUGCGUUGAGCUAACCGGUACUAAUGAACCGUGAGGCUUAACCUU